ensembl:lncRNA
GCAGAAUUUGAGCUCUGCCGGGUCAGCUCUACCCGGGAGUUGGUCCCGUUGGCCGACCAGUGUCCUCUGGACAUCAGAAACCGGAGAGAACUCAACCGGUCCAAUUUAUAUCUUCGACCCAAGAAUACCGACAGUCAACAACCACCAAGAGAGCGCCCAGUCAUUCCCCAGCAGGGUUUGGUAGACCAGCCCGGGGUGCCAUCAAGAUCCCUACGAGUUGGCUCCCUCGUCUUGGAUCAAUGACGAACCGGAGAGUCUUCCGUCUGUUUGUUAUCCUGACAUCGUCAACUACCUGGUUUUCUCGCCAAGCCCAUACACAGCGGAAGACCUUAAAGUGUACAAAAGUUUGGAGGCCUAUAACCAGAUGGUGUGUGGAUGGGUGAGGGAGAUUCAAUACCAAGUCAUCGACGACAGAUGUGUUGCGAAGGCCAAAGUUCUCCAUUCUCAAUCAAUCCGAGAAACACCCUUGGAACCCUGGAUAAUCGCUGAGAAGUCUGGUCGGAUACUUGGAGCCCACUGCACGUGUAUGGCUGGCCUCGGAGAGACGUGCACACAUGUUGCUGCAUUAUUGUUUCUCAUAGAAGAAACAGUGAAGUUGAGG